AACAGGAUUAGAUACCCUGGUAGUCCACGCCCUAAACGAUGUCAACUGGUUGUUGGGAGGGUUUCUUCUCAGUAACGAAGCUAACGCGUGAAGUUGACCGCCUGGGGAGUACGGCCGCAAGGUUGAAACUCAAAGGAAUUGACAGGGACCCGCACAAGCGGUGGAUGAUGUGGUUUAAUUCGAUGCAACGCGAAAAACCUUACCUACCCUUGACAUGUCUGGAAUUCCGAAGAGAUUUGGAAGUGCUCGAAAGAGAGCCAGAACACAGGUGCUGCAUGGCCGUCGUCAGCUCGUGUCGUGAGAUGUUGGGUUAAGUCCCGCAACGAGCGCAACCCUUGUCAUUAGUUGCUACGAAAGGGCACUCUAAUGAGACUGCCGGUGACAAACCGGAGGAAGGUGGGGAUGACGUCAGGUCAUCAUGGCCCUUAUGGGUAGGGCUACACACGUCAUACAAUGGCCGGGACAGAGGGCUGCCAACCCGCGAGGGGGAGCUAAUCCCAGAAACCCGGUCGUAGUCCGGAUCGUAGUCUGCAACUCGACUGCGUGAAGUCGGAAUCGCUAGUAAUCGCGGAUCAGCUUGCCGCGGUGAAUACGUUCCCGGGUCUUGUACACACCGCCUGUCACACCAUGGGAGCGGGUUCUGCCAGAAGUAGUUAGCCUAACCGCAAGGAGGGCGAUUACCACGGCAGGGUUCGUGACUGGGGUGAAGUCGUAACAAGGUAACC
rnacentral:rRNA from 1 species